rnacentral:tRNA from 1 species
GGGGAUUUAGCUCAGUGGUAGAGCGCUUGCCUAGCAAGCGCAAGGCCCUGGGUUCGAUCCCCAACUCCG